AUUGAACGCUGGCGGCAUGCCUUACACAUGCAAGUCGAACGGUAACGCGGGGCAACCUGGCGACGAGUGGCGAACGGGUGAGUAAUGCAUCGGAACGUGCCUGGUAGUGGGGGAUAACUGCUCGAAAGAGCAGCUAAUACCGCAUACGACCUGAGGGUGAAAGGGGGGGAUCGCAAGACCUCUUGCUAUCAGAGCGGCCGAUGUCGGAUUAGCUAGUUGGUGGGGUAAAGGCCCACCAAGGCAACGAUCCGUAGCUGGUCUGAGAGGACGACCAGCCACACUGGGACUGAGACACGGCCCAGACUCCUACGGGAGGCAGCAGUGGGGAAUUUUGGACAAUGGACGCAAGUCUGAUCCAGCCAUGCCGCGUGCGGGAAGAAGGCCUUCGGGUUGUAAACCGCUUUUGUCAGGGAAGAAAUCUUCUGGGCUAAUACCCUGGGAGGAUGACGGUACCUGAAGAAUAAGCACCGGCUAACUACGUGCCAGCCGCCGCCGUAAGAC
rnacentral:rRNA from 1 species